rnacentral:rRNA from 1 species
GACGAACGCUGCGCUGCAGGCUUAACUCAUGCGCUUUCCACCAGAACCCUUUGGCUACUGCCAUCGCAAAUACACGUGGCCGACCGGUGCCUAUCGCGUAAAUGACCUGCCCUCCAGCGCCGGACAAUCACAGCAAACCGUGGCUAAUACCUCCCCUCUUACUGGACCCCUCCAUGGUGACCAGAUGAAAGCCUUCAGGCGCCUUUGGAUGGGUCUGCGUUGGAUUAGCUUGUUGGUGACGCAACGGCUCACCAACCGCGACGAUCCAUACCUGGUCUGAGAGGACGAUCCGCCACACUGGGACUGAGACACAGCCCACACUCCUACCGCAUGCAGCAGUGGGGAAUCUUGCACUAUGGGGUCACCCCUGAUGCUUCCCUGCCGGCGUGUAGGAACACACCCCUAUGGUCGCGUACACUCCUUUUCUCAACGACUAAACCCCUGUACGUUCAAGGCGCGACCGUUAUUCAGGAAUAAGCACCGGCUAACUCCCUGCCUUCCACCACCGUACUACUGACGGUGCAACCGUUGUCCGGAUUCUCUGGGUGUAUAGGGUGUGCACGCUGCGCACCCAGCUCUGAUGUGAAACCCCAUGGCUUAACCAUGUAUGUGCAUUCGAAUCUGUUGCUCUUGAGUCCCGGAUAGGCUGUCUGAAUUCGUGGUGUAGCGGAGAAAUGCGUAGAUAUCACGUGGAACACCAGAGGCGAAAGCGGGCAGCUGGACGGGUACUGACGCUCAGGCAGGAAAGCGUGGGGAGCAAACAGGAUUAGAUACCCUGGUAGUCCACGCUGUAAACGAUGAACGCUCGCCGUUGCCCCGCUCAAGGGGCAGUGGAUAAGUUAACGCGUUAAGCGUUCCACGUGGGGAGUACGAUGGCAAGGUUGAAACUCAAAGGAAUUGACGGGGGCCCGCACAAGCGGUGGAGCAUGUGGCUCAAUUCGAUGCAACGCGAAGAACAUUACCUAGGCUCGAACGCUAAAGGACCGCUCCUGAAAGGGAGCUUCCCCUUUGGGGCCUUUAGCGAGGUACUGCAUGGCUGUAGUCAGCUGGUGUCUUGAGAUGUUGGGAUAAGUCCCGCAACGAGCGUAACCCCUGCUGUCUAGUUACCAUCGGGUAAUGCCGGGGAAUCUAGAGAAACAGCGAUGCGCAAGCAGUGAGGAAGGUGGGGAUGACGUCAAGUCAUCAUGGUCCUUACGCGUAGGGCUGCACACGUGCUACAAUGGCCGGUACAACGGGUAGCCACCUCGCGAGAGGGAGAGAAUCCAUGAAAACCGGUCCCAGUUAGGAUGGGAGUAUGCAACUCGACUCCAUGAAGCAGGAAUCGAUAGUAAUCGCGGAUCAGCAAUGCCGCGGUGAAUCCGUUCCCGGGCCUGGUACACACCGCCCGUCAAGCCAUGGAAGCUUAGAGCACCGUAAGUCCGCGACUCAAAUCCGGCGUGGUGUCGGAGAAAGAGCGGCCGAAGAGUGAGCUCAGUGACUGUGGUU